AAUACUUUAUGAAUGUAAUUCAUUAUUGAUGACGUUUGAGAGUUUAUUUUGCCAGUGCAAAAACUCCUCAGAUUGGCUUCAUUUCGUUCUCCUCACCCCGACCUCUCGCUGCUAAAGAAGAUUUGGAGAGCACUUUGAAUCUCGUGUAGGAGUAAAAUGAAACGGAAGUCACAGGAGGGUCCUGUUUGUUAAAGAAGCGCUGUGUAACUUUUACUGAAAGAGCUGUCACCAGAGUCUAGAGCGGAGUAACCAAAAAAACUUUCUUAUCUCAUCACUAAUAUAUAUUUGUUUACAGCGAAGCCUGCCGUCACCAGAAGCAACUGCUGUGCUGAACCUGAGGAGGAAGUGUCCUACGCCACCAUCACCUACAAAAGGAACAACCGGAGAAAUGAGGUCGGACUCAGUGAGGAGGAGGAGGUGACCUACAGCUCAGUGAGGAAGACAGCGGUGGAGGACCCUGCUCAGUUCUACGCCACCGUCAGAACAUGAAACAGCAACCAACCCACCGACUGAUUAACCAACUGACCCACCGACAGAGAGAAGACAGAAGAAGCUCUAAAUAAACCUGUUCAAGAGUUACCCAACAGCGCCAUCUUGUGGUUAAACACGUCGAUCCUUUCAAAUCUUCUGUCAUCAGGAUGUUCAAAAUUCUGGAAUGGAGAAAAAAUUGAAGCAAACAUAAUAAUAAUAAUAAUAAUAAUAAUAAUAAUAAUAAUGAUUCACUGAUGAGCAGACUUGAAUGCUUUGUUUUUAUGACAUUAUAACAAAAAAUAAGCAACGAUUAUGAAUUUUCAAGCUACAAAUCUUAUUUACUUUGCUUCUCUGUUAAGAAGGAUGAAAAAAAAAUACAGUUUUCUAACCCUAAAAUAGUAUUUGGGCUUCACAAAAGGCAUAAUUUAUGAUGAAAUGUGUAAUAUAUCUGUAGAUGAAGUGAAAAACUGGAUUUUGCUUUAGUAAAAAUGCUCAGUGUCUCUCUUAAUCUCUUGUUAAAUAAACAAAUAAUGUAAAACACAACUGUAAAUGUUUUUAAACCAGGCUCUGAUUUCA